rnacentral:hammerhead_ribozyme from 1 species
AUCCAGCUGACUAAUCCUGAAUAGGACGAAACGUGCGUCCUGAAU